AGUGAACGCUGGCGGUAGGCCUAACACAUGCAAGUCGAACGGCAGCACAGUAAGAGCUUGCUCUUACGGGUGGCGAGUGGCGGACGGGUGCGGAAUACAUCGGAAUCUACUUUCUCGUGGGGGCUAACGUAGGGACUAUUACGCUAAUACCGCAUACGACCUACGGGUGAAAGCAGGGGAUCUUCGGACCUUGCGCGAUUGAAUGAGCCGAUGUCGGGUUAGCUAGUUGGCGGGGUAAAGGCCCACCAAGGCGACGAUCCGUAGCUGGUCUGAGAGGAUGAUCAGCCACACUGGAACUGAGACACGGUCCAGACUCCUACGGGAGGCAGCAGUGGGGAAUAUUGGACAAUGGGCGCAAGCCUGAUCCAGCCAUGCCGCGUGGGUGAAGAAGGCCUUCGGGUUGUAAAGCCCUUUUGUUGGGAAAGAAAAGCAGCAGGUUAAUACCCCGCUGUUCUGACGGUACCCAAAGAAUAAGCACCGGCUAACUUCGUG
rnacentral:rRNA from 1 species